rnacentral:rRNA from 1 species
UACGGAGGGAGCUAGCGUUGUUCGGAUUCACUGGGCGUAAAGGGUGCGUAGGCGGUCGGGUAAGUCUGAUGUGAAAUCUCACAGCUUAACUGUGAAACUGCAUUGGAUACUAUCCGGCUCGAGGAAUGGAGGGGAGACUGGAAUACUUGGUGUAGCAGUGAAAUGCGUAGAUGUCAAGUGGAACACCAGUGGCGAAGGCGAGUCUCUGGACAUUUCCUGACGCUGAGGCACGAAAGCCAGGGGAGCAAACGGG